rnacentral:rRNA from 1 species
GAUGAACGCUGGCGGCGUGCCUAAUACAUGCAAGUCGAGCGAACGGACGAGAAGCUUGCUUCUCUGAUGUUAGCGGCGGACGGGUGAGUAACACGUGGAUAACCUACCUAUAAGACUGGGAUAACUUCGGGAAACCGGAGCUAAUACCGGAUAAUAUUUUGAACCGCAUGGUUCAAAAGUGAAAGACGGUCUUGCUGUCACUUAUAGAUGGAUCCGCGCUGCAUUAGCUAGUUGGUAAGGUAACGGCUUACCAAGGCAACGAUGCAUAGCCGACCUGAGAGGGUGAUCGGCCACACUGGAACUGAGACACGGUCCAGACUCCUACGGGAGGCAGCAGUAGGGAAUCUUCCGCAAUGGGCGAAAGCCUGACGGAGCAACGCCGCGUGAGUGAUGAAGGUCUUCGGAUCGUAAAACUCUGUUAUUAGGGAAGAACAUAUGUGUAAGUAACUGUGCACAUCUUGACGGUACCUAAUCAGAAAGCCACGGCUAACUACGUGCCAGCAGCCGCGGUAAUACGUAGGUGGCAAGCGUUAUCCGGAAUUAUUGGGCGUAAAGCGCGCGUAGGCGGUUUUUUAAGUCUGAUGUGAAAGCCCACGGCUCAACCGUGGAGGGUCAUUGGAAACUGGAAAACUUGAGUGCAGAAGAGGAAAGUGGAAUUCCAUGUGUAGCGGUGAAAUGCGCAGAGAUAUGGAGGAACACCAGUGGCGAAGGCGACUUUCUGGUCUGUAACUGACGCUGAUGUGCGAAAGCGUGGGGAUCAAACAGGAUUAGAUACCCUGGUAGUCCACGCCGUAAACGAUGAGUGCUAAGUGUUAGGGGGUUUCCGCCCCUUAGUGCUGCAGCUAACGCAUUAAGCACUCCGCCUGGGGGGUACGACCGCAAGGUUGAAACUCAAAGGAAUUGACGGGGACCCGCACAAGCGGUGGAGCAUGUGGUUUAAUUCGAAGCAACGCGAAGAACCUUACCAAAUCUUGACAUCCUUUGACAACUCUAGAGAUAGAGCUUUCCCCUUCGGGGGACAAAGUGACAGGUGGUGCAUGGUUGUCGUCAGCUCGUGUCGUGAGAUGUUGGGUUAAGUCCCGCAACGAGCGCAACCCUUAAGCUUAGUUGCCAUCAUUAAGUUGGGCACUCUAAGUUGACUGCCGGUGACAAACCGGAGGAAGGUGGGGAUGACGUCAAAUCAUCAUGCCCCUUAUGAUUUGGGCUACACACGUGCUACAAUGGACAAUACAAAGGGCAGCGAAACCGCGAGGUCAAGCAAAUCCCAUAAAGUUGUUCUCAGUUCGGAUUGUAGUCUGCAACUCGACUACAUGAAGCUGGAAUCGCUAGUAAUCGUAGAUCAGCAUGCUACGGUGAAUACGUUCCCGGGUCU